CCUACGGGAGGCUGCAGUGGGGAAUAUUGCACAGUGGGCGCAAGCCUGAUGCAGCCAUGCCGCGUGUGUGAAGAAGGCCUUCGGGUUGUAAAGCACUUUCAGCGGGGAGGAAGGCGUUAAGGUUAAUAACCUUGGCGAUUGACGUUACCCGCAGAAGAAGCACCGGCUAACUCCGUGCCAGCAGCCGCGGUAAUACGGAGGGUGCAAGCGUUAAUCGGAAUUACUGGGCGUAAAGCGCACGCAGGCGGUCUGUCAAGUCGGAUGUGAAAUCCCCGGGCUCAACCUGGGAACUGCAUUCGAAACUGGCAGGCUAGAGUCUUGUAGAGGGGGGUAGAAUUCCAGGUGUAGCGGUGAAAUGCGUAGAGAUCUGGAGGAAUACCGGUGGCGAAGGCGGCCCCCUGGACAAAGACUGACGCUCAGGUGCGAAAGCGUGGGGAGCAAACAGGAUUAGAUACCCUAGUAGUC
rnacentral:rRNA from 1 species